GGAUUUAUUGGGUUUAAAGGGUGCGUAGGCGGUUAGAUAAGUUAGAGGUGAAAUCCCGGGGCUUAACUCCGAAAUUGCCUCUAAUACUGUUUGACUAGAGAGUAGUUGCGGUAGGCGGAAUGUAUGGUGUAGCGGUGAAAUGCUUAGAGAUCAUACAGAACACCGAUUGCGAAGGCAGCUUACCAAACUAUAUCUGACGUUGAGGCACGAAAGCGUGGGGAGCAAACAGGAUUAGAUACCCUGGUAGUCCACGCAGUAAACGAUGAUAACUCGCUGUCGGCGAUACACAGUCGGUGGCUAAGCGAAAGCGAUAAGUUAUCCACCUGGGGAGUACGUUCGCAAGAAUGAAACUCAAAGGAAUUGACGGGGGCCCGCACAAGCGGAGGAACAUGUGGUUUAAUUCGAUGAUACGCGAGGAACCUUACCCGGGCUUGAAAGUUAGCGACGGAUCUGGAAACAGGUCUUCCCUUCGGGGCGCGAAACUAGGUGCUGCAUGGUUGUCGUCAGCUCGUGCCGUGAGGUGUCGGGUUAAGUCCCAUAACGAGCGCAACCCCUACCGUUAGUUGCCAUCAGGUUAAGCUGGGCACUCUGGCGGGACUGCCGGUGUAAGCCGAGAGGAAGGUGGGGAUGACGUCAAAUCAGCACGGCCCUUACGUCCGGGGCUACACACGUGUUACAAUGGUAGGUACAGAGGGUCGCUACCCCGUGAGGGGAUGCCAAUCUCGAAAGCCUAUCUCAGUUCGGAUUGGAGGCUGAAACCCGCCUCCAUGAAGUUGGAUUCGCUAGUAAUCGCGCAUC
rnacentral:rRNA from 1 species